rnacentral:tRNA from 1 species
GCGGGAAUAGCUCAGAUGGUAGAGCGUCAGCCUUCCAAGCUGAGGGUCGCGGGUUCAAAUCCCGUUUCCCGCUCCA